GGGUUGUGAGGUUAAGCGACUAAGCGUACACGGUGGAUGCCCUGGCAGUCAGAGGCGAUGAAGGACGUGCUAAUCUGCGAUAAGCGUCGGUAAGGUGAUAUGAACCGUUAUAACCGGCGAUUUCCGAAUGGGGAAACCCAGUGUGAUUCGUCACACUAUCAUUAACUGAAUCCAUAGGUUAAUGAGGCGAACCGGGGGAACUGAAACAUCUAAGUACCCCGAGGAAAAGAAAUCAACCGAGAUUCCCCCAGUAGCGGCGAGCGAACGGGGAGCAGCCCAGAGCCUGAAUCAGUGUGUGUGUUAGUGGAAGCGUCUGGAAAGGCGCGCGAUACAGGGUGACAGCCCCGUACACAAAAAUGCACAUGCUGUGAGCUCGAUGAGUAGGGCGGGACACGUGGUAUCCUGUCUGAAUAUGGGGGGACCAUCCUCCAAGGCUAAAUACUCCUGACUGACCGAUAGUGAACCAGUACCGUGAGGGAAAGGCGAAAAGAACCCCGGCGAGGGGAGUGAAAAAGAACCUGAAACCGUGUACGUACAAGCAGUGGGAGCACGCUUAGGCGUGUGACUGCGUACCUUUUGUAUAAUGGGUCAGCGACUUAUAUUCUGUAGCAAGGUUAACCGAAUAGGGGAGCCGAAGGGAAACCGAGUCUUAACUGGGCGUUAAGUUGCAGGGUAUAGACCCGAAACCCGGUGAUCUAGCCAUGGGCAGGUUGAAGGUUGGGUAACACUAACUGGAGGACCGAACCGACUAAUGUUGAAAAAUUAGCGGAUGACUUGUGGCUGGGGGUGAAAGGCCAAUCAAACCGGGAGAUAGCUGGUUCUCCCCGAAAGCUAUUUAGGUAGCGCCUCGUGAAUUCAUCUCCGGGGGUAGAGCACUGUUUCGGCAAGGGGGUCAUCCCGACUUACCAACCCGAUGCAAACUGCGAAUACCGGAGAAUGUUAUCACGGGAGACACACGGCGGGUGCUAACGUCCGUCGUGAAGAGGGAAACAACCCAGACCGCCAGCUAAGGUCCCAAAGUCAUGGUUAAGUGGGAAACGAUGUGGGAAGGCCCAGACAGCCAGGAUGUUGGCUUAGAAGCAGCCAUCAUUUAAAGAAAGCGUAAUAGCUCACUGGUCGAGUCGGCCUGCGCGGAAGAUGUAACGGGGCUAAACCAUGCACCGAAGCUGCGGCAGCGACGCUGAUGCGUUGUUGGGUAGGGGAGCGUUCUGUAAGCCUGCGAAGGUGUGCUGUGAGGCAUGCUGGAGGUAUCAGAAGUGCGAAUGCUGACAUAAGUAACGAUAAAGCGGGUGAAAAGCCCGCUCGCCGGAAGACCAAGGGUUCCUGUCCAACGUUAAUCGGGGCAGGGUGAGUCGACCCCUAAGGCGAGGCCGAAAGGCGUAGUCGAUGGGAAACAGGUUAAUAUUCCUGUACUUGGUGUUACUGCGAAGGGGGGACGGAGAAGGCUAUGUUGGCCGGGCGACGGUUGUCCCGGUUUAAGCGUGUAGGCUGGUUUUCCAGGCAAAUCCGGAAAAUCAAGGCUGAGGCGUGAUGACGAGGCACUACGGUGCUGAAGCAACAAAUGCCCUGCUUCCAGGAAAAGCCUCUAAGCAUCAGGUAACAUCAAAUCGUACCCCAAACCGACACAGGUGGUCAGGUAGAGAAUACCAAGGCGCUUGAGAGAACUCGGGUGAAGGAACUAGGCAAAAUGGUGCCGUAACUUCGGGAGAAGGCACGCUGAUAUGUAGGUGAAGUCCCUCGCGGAUGGAGCUGAAAUCAGUCGAAGAUACCAGCUGGCUGCAACUGUUUAUUAAAAACACAGCACUGUGCAAACACGAAAGUGGACGUAUACGGUGUGACGCCUGCCCGGUGCCGGAAGGUUAAUUGAUGGGGUUAGCGCAAGCGAAGCUCUUGAUCGAAGCCCCGGUAAACGGCGGCCGUAACUAUAACGGUCCUAAGGUAGCGAAAUUCCUUGUCGGGUAAGUUCCGACCUGCACGAAUGGCGUAAUGAUGGCCAGGCUGUCUCCACCCGAGACUCAGUGAAAUUGAACUCGCUGUGAAGAUGCAGUGUACCCGCGGCAAGACGGAAAGACCCCGUGAACCUUUACUAUAGCUUGACACUGAACAUUGAGCCUUGAUGUGUAGGAUAGGUGGGAGGCUUUGAAGUGUGGACGCCAGUCUGCAUGGAGCCGACCUUGAAAUACCACCCUUUAAUGUUUGAUGUUCUAACGUUGACCCGUGAUCCGGGUUGCGGACAGUGUCUGGUGGGUAGUUUGACUGGGGCGGUCUCCUCCUAAAGAGUAACGGAGGAGCACGAAGGUUGGCUAAUCCUGGUCGGACAUCAGGAGGUUAGUGCAAUGGCAUAAGCCAGCUUGACUGCGAGCGUGACGGCGCGAGCAGGUGCGAAAGCAGGUCAUAGUGAUCCGGUGGUUCUGAAUGGAAGGGCCAUCGCUCAACGGAUAAAAGGUACUCCGGGGAUAACAGGCUGAUACCGCCCAAGAGUUCAUAUCGACGGCGGUGUUUGGCACCUCGAUGUCGGCUCAUCACAUCCUGGGGCUGAAGUAGGUCCCAAGGGUAUGGCUGUUCGCCAUUUAAAGUGGUACGCGAGCUGGGUUUAGAACGUCGUGAGACAGUUCGGUCCCUAUCUGCCGUGGGCGCUGGAGAACUGAGGGGGGCUGCUCCUAGUACGAGAGGACCGGAGUGGACGCAUCACUGGUGUUCGGGUUGUCAUGCCAAUGGCACUGCCCGGUAGCUAAAUGCGGAAGAGAUAAGUGCUGAAAGCAUCUAAGCACGAAACUUGCCCCGAGAUGAGUUCUCCCUGACUCCUUGAGAGUCCUGAAGGAACGUUGAAGACGACGACGUUGAUAGGCCGGGUGUGUAAGCGCAGCGAUGCGUUGAGCUAACCGGUACUAAUGAACCGUGAGGCUUAACCUUACAACGCCGAAG
rnacentral:rRNA from 1 species